AUUGAACGCUGGCGGCAUGCCUUACACAUGCAAGUCGAACGGUAGCAGGUCUUCGGAUGCUGACGAGUGGCGAACGGGUGAGUAAUACAUCGGAACGUGCCCGAUCGUGGGGGAUAACGAAGCGAAAGCUUUGCUAAUACCGCAUAAGAUCUACGGAUGAAAGCAGGGGACCGCAAGGCCUUGCGCGAACGGAGCGGCCGAUGGCAGAUUAGGUAGUUGGUGGGAUAAAAGCUUACCAAGCCGACGAUCUGUAGCUGGUCUGAGAGGACGACCAGCCACACUGGGACUGAGACACGGCCCAGACUCCUACGGGAGGCAGCAGUGGGGAAUUUUGGACAAUGGGCGAAAGCCUGAUCCAGCCAUGCCGCGUGCAGGAUGAAGGCCUUCGGGUUGUAAACUGCUUUUGUACGGAACGAAAAGACUCUUUCUAAUAAAGGGGGUCCAUGACGGUACCGUAAGAAUAAGCACCGGCUAACUACGUGCCAGCAGCCGCAGUAA
rnacentral:rRNA from 1 species